rnacentral:rRNA from 1 species
UAACACGUGGGUAACCUGCCUGUAAGACUGGGAUAACUCCGGGAAACCGGGGCUAAUACCGGAUGCUUGUUUGAACCGCAUGGUUCAGACAUAAAAGGUGGCUUCGGCUACCACUUACAGAUGGACCCGCGGCGCAUUAGCUAGUUGGUGAGGUAACGGCUCACCAAGGCGACGAUGCGUAGCCGACCUGAGAGGGUGAUCGGCCACACUGGGACUGAGACACGGCCCAGACUCCUACGGGAGGCAGCAGUAGGGAAUCUUCCGCAAUGGACGAAAGUCUGACGGAGCAACGCCGCGUGAGUGAUGAAGGUUUUCGGAUCGUAAAGCUCUGUUGUUAGGGAAGAACAAGUGCCGUUCAAAUAGGGCGGCACCUUGACGGUACCUAACCAGAAAGCCACGGCUAACUACGUGCCAGCAGCCGCGGUAAUACGUAGGUGGCAAGCGUUGUCCGGAAUUAUUGGGCGUAAAGGGCUCGCAGGCGGUUUCUUAAGUCUGAUGUGAAAGCCCCCGGCUC